rnacentral:tRNA from 1 species
GCAGUGGUGGUUCAGUGGUGGAAUUCUCAUCUUUCACAUGGGAGACCUGGGUUCCAUUCCCAGCCAGUGUA